GGACGAACGCUGGCGGCGUGCCUAAUACAUGCAAGUUGAGCGCUGAAGGUUGGUACUUGUACCAACUGGAUGAGCAGCGAACGGGUGAGUAACGCGUGGGGAGUCUGCCUUUGAGCGGGGGACAACAUUUGGAAACGAAUGCUAAUACCGCAUAAAAACUUUAAACACAAGUUUUAAGUUUGAAAGAUGCAAUUGCAUCACUCAAAGAUGAUCCCGCGUUGUAUUAGCUAGUUGGUGAGGUAAAGGCUCACCAAGGCGAUGAUACAUAGCCAACCUGAGAGGGUGAUCGGCCACAUUGGGACUGGGACACGGCCCAAACUCCUACGGGAGGCAGCAGUAGGGAAUCUUCGGCAAUGGACGAAAGUCUGACCGAGCAACGCCGCGUGAGUGAAGAAGGUUUUCGGAUCGUAAAACUCUGUUGGUAGAGAAGAACGUUGGUGAGAGUGGAAAGCUCAUCAAGUGACGGUAACUACCCAGAAAGGGACGGCUAACUACGUG
rnacentral:rRNA from 1 species